GAUGAACGCUAGCGGCGUGCCUUAUGCAUGCAAGUCGAACGAGGUGCUUAAGUAGCAAUACGAGAGUAUCCUAGUGGCGAACGGGUGAGUAACGCGUUGGUGACCUACCCCGAAGUGUGGGAUAACAGUCCGAAAGGAUUGCUAAUACCGCAUGUGGUCAUUGGAUUUAGAAACCGAUGACUAAAGCAGUAAUGCGCUUUGGGAGGGACCUGCGUCCCAUCAGCUAGUUGGUGAGGUAACGGCCCACCAAGGCGACGACGGGUAGGGGACCUGAGAGGGUGGCCCCCCACAAUGGAACUGAAACACGGUCCAUACACCUACGGGAGGCUG
rnacentral:rRNA from 1 species